rnacentral:lncRNA from 1 species
AAGCCUUGAGCCGUGAGCAGCUGCUCCCCUUCCUCUCCUUUUUAGGUGCUCUGAGCCCCGUGCAGGGCCCUUGGGUCCUGUCCUCCUGAGGAGGGAACAGGCCUUCAUCCUGGCUGCUCUUCCCUGUGUCUGUCUCCCCUGGGCCACAUAAGCUGUCUACACAGCGGUCUUCGGGCUCAGGCACACACACCGGGUCCACACAGCAACCCUGGCAGCUCACACCGCAGCACCAUGGGCACCCAUGUUACAGCUCGGCCUCCUGUGCUGCCCAGGACAGGGCACCAAGGCCAAGCCAUGGACAACAGCGCCAUCACACUAGCCCAGGGGACAGCGGUGACAGAGACUGGCUUGCUAGGCCUGAAGCCCAGAAAACAGCAAGCGCCAAUCCCAGACAGGCCACCUCCAGACCAGGACUGAGGGUGCCACACCUAGGGGACAGAAAGUGCUGCCACCUGCCUGGCAGAAAGCGUGAAAAGCAGGCCUGGGGCCUCCUGUGAGCAUCGAGAGCCUCGGAGGACACCGCGGGCCACACACUGCCUGUGGCACCCAGAGGAAGGCCAAGUGGGCACAGCGGGGAUGGCGGUGACACGGGCCCUGCACACGGCCCCCAUCCUCAAAGAGUCCCAGCAGGAUCGCCGGCACUGUGCUCCCAGCCCCGGUGUGGUUAUUAAUGGGCUCCACGCAUGGAGACAGAAGGCACCGCAGUGGCUCAGUGAGGAGUCUCCUGGCGGUCGCAUGGCCUGGGGACCCUACCUGGCAUUGAGCUCCCACUGCCCUCCUGACCCUGCACCUGGCACCCCUCCCCAGAGCCCCCAUCCUUUCCACAGUCACCUCGUCCCUCCAGCCAGGACCCCACACAGCCCCUCACAGGCAAACCUCAGCCGCAGUUCCCUGCACUCAAGCUGCCAAGACGGCACUUCCUGCCUCGUCCUGGACAGGGCAGGGCCCUAUCGCUGUGCACAAAGGACACAGGAGCACAGGAACUUGAGGCAGCCAGGCAGCCCACUGAGGCCACCAACCCAAGGAACAGGAAGGGAUGCCCUGGGAGCUCCAGGCCACACCCUUGGACACCACAGGCCCAAUUCCCGAACACUGACUGUCCUGCGGUGAGGGCGCACGGGGCUCACUGACCAGCGUGGUCUCAGCAUGAUAGGAACAAACCACCCCACCACAGCCAGGAGAGGAGCCGCCCGCCAGGCUCAGAGGGGCACGGUGGCAGCAUCUUUGAUGGUAAUGUUUAAGGACAUUAAAACUUUGAGUGCUUUGAUGGGAUUACAUUUUAUUCUAAGGCUUAAAAACCAC